rnacentral:rRNA from 1 species
UACGUAGGGGGCGAGCGUUGUCCGGAGUUACUGGGCGUAAAGCGCACGCAGGCGGUCUGUUAAGUUUGGAGUGACAGUUGGUGGCUUAACUGCCAAAGUGCUUCGAAAACUGACAGACUUGAGGGCUUCAGAGGGACACGGAAUUCCGGGUGGAGUGGUGAAAUGCGUAGAGAUCCGGAGGAACACCAGUGGCGCAGGCGGCUCUCUGGAUCGGCCCUGACGCUGAGGCGCGAAAGCGUGGGGAGCGAACGGG